GAUAAAGUGAAGGCUAUGUUGGCUUUCUUUGUGGCUUCUGACAGAUUUAAAAAAAAAUUUUUGUGAUAUUCGAGUUUUGAUUUUUGUGAACCCGGCACAAGCUAAGAAUCCGUUCAGGAGCAUACGCCGGAAAACAAACCUCAUUCCUUCCUUCCUUCCUUCAACACUUUUCCCGGUUUAUUUGAAUCGUUUUUCGAUGAACAUGAGGGAAAACGUUGUCAUUGCUUUUGUACGUAAAUAUCUGGUGCUUACUGAUAUAUUACUGAAAAGAUUGCACUUAAGAGCUUUAUUUGAAAGAAAGCAACUAUCUUAUUGUUUGUUGACUUCCAAGAUUGUGUUGUCAUGAACCUAAUGACAUGCUAAUGAGAAAAGCUGAUAAAUCAUCACAUGUUUUGGAAUAAAAGUGGCAACGAUAAGAAAGGUUUGACUUUUCAAAGACCCGCAAUCCUAAGUUCAAAUUACAACAUAUCUCGAUGGAAUCGAGAACCAGGAAAUAAGAAAUUCUCCAAUACAUCUGUUUAGGAAUUUUUUAUCACGCUAUAAUUUUUAUUACUUACUAGUGUAUAUGUGUGAGUAUUGUUACAUACAAAAAAGAGGAAAUUUUUCUUAUGUCUCAUGUUACAAAACAUUCUUCCAAAAAUUGCAUUCACAUUUUUUAAUUUUCAUUCAUUUAUUAAAGAAACUUCAUUUUAGUCAUAUAUGGUCAAAGACAUUUAAAUUAUAUUCACCGUGGGAAUUUUAUUGUCAAAUUGGAAUUAGAGUAAUGUCUCGUUCCACUGAUGUGCAGAAAAAAUUGCUUUAAAAAUGCAAUUUCUCAUUGACCAUUUAAUUCAGAAG